AUCUGAUGGUGAGGACAGCUUGCACAUAGCUUCUUGAAUCGCUCCCAAUAUUCAUACAAUGUCUCCCCAUUAUAUUGCCUUAUACCACAUAUCUCUUUCUUGAUGGU